GAGGGCUUGUUGUUGGGUGGGGCCAGUCUCUAGGGUGGGCUGCCUGCCCUGGCUGAGUUGGAUUAAAUCGGUGCUCUAGCGGGUGGGGCAGACCCUGGGCUAGCAGGCCUCAGGGACAACUCCAAUGGCGUCUGUGUCAGCACGCCCACACCAGGCCACAACAAUGGCCGCCGCCAAUGUCACAGUCCCUGGAGAGGUCUCACCUCUCACUGAGAUGUGCUCAGGGCCUAUUAGUCGAUAUCGGACUUAGUGAUGUGCCUCUGAUCAAUAGAAAAAAGCAGAAGUGGUGAUGUGGGACUUCAGAGACUAGGUCAUGAAAGGCUCUGUGACUUCUUUCUUUCUCUUGAAUUGCUCACUCUGGGUGAAGUUAGCUGAUAGGUCAUGAGCAGAGACCCAUGUGGGUGAAGAACCAAGGGCUCCAGUCAAUAGCCAUGUGAGUUAGUCUUCUUGGAAGCAGAUCCCCCAGGCCUGUCAACCUUCAGAUGUCUGCAUCCCCAACCAACAUUUUGACUGCAACCUCAUAAGAGAUGUGGAGCCAGAAAAUCUCAGCUGCUCUUAUAACCUUGGGAUGCCACCUCACAGGGCUCUUCAAGGACAGCUGGACACAACAGCAGAAGCUUUCUGCAGACAAGAAUCCCCUGGAAUAAAAACAGUGACCAUACAGUGUCAUGGAAGAAAGUUCCCAUUGUUUCUUGCCCUUGGAUAGUUUCAGCUGUCUUUUUUCCUUGUUUUGGGUCUGUUUAAGAAAAUACAAAAUUGGGGCUACUUUGGAAUAUCCACAUGACAAUCUCAGGAAAGGUUUUCAUAGUAUACCAAAUCUCUUAACUUCUUGGGACAACAAACGAAAGGAGAAAAAUAGAA